rnacentral:misc_RNA from 1 species
UACAGAGGGUGCAAGCGUUGUCCGGAAUCACUGGGCGUAAAGCGCGCGCAGGCGGCGAUCUGCGUCUGGGGUGAAAGCCCGAGGCUCAACCUCGGGACUGCCUUGGAUACGGGAUUGCUUGAGGAUCGGAGAGGCAAGGGGAAUUCCACGUGUAGCGGUGAAAUGCGUAGAUAUGUGGAGGAACACCAGUGGCGAAGGCGCCUUGCUGGCCGAUUUCUGACGCUGAGGCGCGAAAGCGUGGGGAGCAAACAGG